CCUACGGGUGGCAGCAGUCGAGAAUCAUUCACAAUGGGGGAAACCCUGAUGGUGCGACGCCGCGUGGGGGAAUGAAGGUCUUCGGAUUGUAAACCCCUGUCAUGUGGGAGCAAAUUAAAAAGAUAGUACCACAAGAGGAAGAGACGGCUAACUCGGUGCCAGCAGCCGCGGUAAUACAGAGGUCUCAAGCGUUGUUCGGAAUCACUUGGCGUAAAGCGUGCGGAGGCUGUUUAGUAAGUCGUGUGUGAAAGGCGCGGGCUCAACCGGCGGACGGCACAUGAUACUGGGAGACUAGAGUAAUGGAGGGGUAGGCGGAAUUCUAGGUGUAGCAGUGAAAUGCGUAGAUAUCGAGAGGAACACUCGUGGCGAAGGCGGGUUCCUGGACAUUAACUGACGCUGAGGCACGAAGGCCAGGGGAGCGAAAAGGAUUAGAUACCCGAGUAGUC
rnacentral:rRNA from 1 species